rnacentral:rRNA from 1 species
UACGUAGGGGGCGAGCGUUGUCCGGAAUUACUGGGCGUAAAGAGCUCGUAGGUGGUUUGUCGCGUUGUUCGUGAAAUCUCACGGCUUAACUGUGAGCGUGCGGGCGAUACGGGCAGACUAGAGUACUGCAGGGGAGACUGGAAUUCCUGGUGUAGCGGUGGAAUGCGCAGAUAUCAGGGGGAACACCGGUGGCGAAGGCGGGUCUCUGGGCAGUAACUGACGCUGAGGAGCGAAAGCGUGGGGAGCGAACAGG